CAUCAACCGAGCGGUUGCUGCUUUAACCGCAAGUUGGGCUCUAGGUCCAGGCAGUCUCUUAGGAGGUUCAGGGUUGGCCAGGGGAGGUAAUGACUCAGAUGGAACAGUGUCAUCCCUCAGAUUUACUGGGUGAACAACCUCAGAAGAUAAAUGAUCCGAGGCCAAGAGCAGCCGUGGAGCAGGGCCAUCAGAUCGAUCCACCAAACCAGAAGAAGAGGGUUCGCAAGAAGUAGGCAAAUCAACCACCGGGUGGUAACUGAGGUUAGGAUGACUCACAGGCUCAAUUUGAGAAGGCGAGGUUGAGCCCUUGAGGCCCAGAGGCACGUGAUCCACCUCACCUAGCACCCACCACCUCUGUGUCUUGCCACAGUGGAUCCGAAGAAGACAUCAUAGGCCUAAUACAUUUCCCAACGAGUAUUGCAUCACAUUGGGGAUCCCCUCGACACACCAAAUCCGGAGAAGAUGGGAUAUUAACGAGGUUGGGGCGAGUGGGAGGCGGAUUCAAAAUUAAAAGAUAGAGAGAAAGCUGGUCUCUUGGAAAAUCAAGACUCCCUGAGGCUAUUUGUUUGCCACAUACCUUGCUUCUUCAAGAAGAAAGAGGGCAAUCAGCACAUUGCUCUGUAAGGGAGUUGUCAGUGUCCAAUCGAUCAGAAGGGUUGCUCAGCAAUUCAUCCGAGUAGACUCGGCUAGGAC
rnacentral:lncRNA from 1 species